rnacentral:rRNA from 1 species
UACAGAGGUCUCAAGCGUUGUUCGGAUUCAUUGGGCGUAAAGGGUGCGUAGGCGGCGAGGUAAGUCGGAUGUGAAAGCUCGGAGCUCAACUCCGAAAUGGCAUUGGAAACUACCUUGCUCGAGGGUUGGAGGGGGGACUGGAAUUCUCGGUGUAGCAGUGAAAUGCGUAGAUAUCGAGAGGAACACCAGUGGCGAAGGCGAGUCCCUGGACAACUCCUGACACUGAGGCACGAAAGCUAGGGGAGCAAACAGG